CCCAUCUGAUCGCAGAAUAUCAACAACACUAGCUGCUGAUGAAGCUGAAGCCAACACUAGAACAGACACCACCUGCAAAACAAAAAUGGAAAGGCUUGCAGUUGUGCCCACAGAGCCAGGAACCUCAACCAUCACCAGCCUAUUUUUGCUUGUGUCAGAUGUAAGUUAGCGCUUGAAUCUAAACCUCGAUAAAGAUUGAAACUUUUGACAUGGGUCUGAAAGAUCUUGUGGAGGUUUUAAUUAAAUCACCUGGGUUUUCGUUUACUGGUGAGGACAAAGAGAUGACGAUCAUGAUCAUGACGGAGAAGAAGAAGAAGAAGGGAGGAAUAAAAAAGUAAGGCAAGUUGCUAGUGUUUCUGGUUCGCACGUUGUUUGUGAGAGUUACGAAUGGUGGAAAACAGAAGACUGUUCAUGUUAAAAGAGUUGUGGUCUGUAUUCAUCAGACAAAGCAGAGCAAAUGUCGGAGAAAACUGUUAUGCAACACUUUUGAUUCCUUCCUUCUUCAUCUCUUAAAUCUCUCUACUUUUUUUCUUUAUUUUAUUGUACAAUAAGUCGCUGCUUUUUAGAAAUUUACAAGACAACACCUCAGAAUUUUCUAGCUUCACUUGUACAACGAAGUAAAUUUUGCAAAUUCUAAAGAAUGGCAGAAUUUGAUCUGCAUAUCGUUGGUAGAUAGUGUUUAAAGGUAAUUUGUUGGAAUUUGGAGGAAUGAGAAGAACAGAAGACAAAGAACAUAUAGUCAAAUACCAAAAGUAAACCACUAUAUAAUAAAUGUAUGUCUCAACUCAUGAUUAGGUUAUUUCAGAUCCUAAAGAGUAA